rnacentral:pre_miRNA from 1 species
UGACUACUCCCUCUGUCCGAAAAUAGUUGUCCUCAAAAUGGUUGUAUCUAUACUUAUUUUAGUUAUAGAUACAUUUAUUUUAUCCAUUUCAAGGACAAGUAUUUCCAGAGGGAGGGAGUAUAAG